AAAAGCUGCAGUGUACAAACCUGAUCCUACAAAAUCACAUAACAAAAUAUAUUGUCUAUACUCUAUAAUGAAACGAGAAGGUAUAUAUAGGUUAUAUAUGAAACAUACCAUUCGUACAAUCCGCAGAAACAAAAGGCACGGAUUGAGUUCCGCACAGCAUCACAACGCGUUCCGAACCCCAACCAGCGGCGAAACAAA